GACGAACGCUGGCGGCGUGGAUUAGGCAUGCAAGUCGAACGGUAUCAUCCUUUCGGGGGUGAGAGAGUGGCGAACUGGUGAGUAACACGUAGGUUAUCUACCCUCAAGACGGGGACAACCCAGGGAAACUUGGGCUAAUACCGGAUGUGAGCAACUUUUAGUUGUUUGAAAGGUGGCGUAAGCUGUCGCUUGGGGAUGAGCCUGCGUCCUAUUAGUUAGUUGGUGAGGUAACGGCUCACCUAGGCAAUGAUAGGUAGGCGGCCUUAACGGGUGGUCGCCCACACUGGGAUUGAGAUACGGCCCAGACUCCUACGGGAGGCAGCAGUCGAGAAUAGUCUACAAUGGUCGGAAGACUGAUAGUGCGACGCCGCGUGAACGAUGAAUCCCUUCGGGGUGUAAAGUUCUUUUAUAUGUGAGCAGUGCUUCUUAUAUUAACAGUAUGGGGAGAGAGAUAUUAGCAUAUGAAUAAGCAACGGCUAACUCGUGCCAGCAGCCGCGGUAAUA
rnacentral:rRNA from 1 species